ensembl:ncRNA lncRNA:CR44531 long non-coding RNA:CR44531
ACGUUGAAUGGUGUUCGGUGAAGGACAUUCUUGUACUUACCCACAAGGCUUCGAUAUUAAUAGCAUAGCAUUUAUAUUGUAGUUAUAUAUUGUAAACAUAUUUCCGCUUUAUGCCGAUAAAGAACUAAUGUAUGUUGUACAGGAUCCAGGAUCCCCAAAUUUCAGCUGCUCCUCGUGUAGUCACCAUUCUGUCACCAACUGGGGCCAUCUGGAGCACUUUCAGUGCCACAGAUGUACGGAUACGUGGGCAUACAUCAUCGGGUAAUAAUGCCGACCAUCAAUACAUCCAUUCCAUAUCCUCUGACAAGCCACGCCGCCGUAUCCUCGAAGGCCUCCAGUCCUCAUCCGUAACCUCAUCAUCCCUCGAUCCCCAACAAUCCAUGCAUGACUGACCCCCUUUUUUGAACCGCGUUUCGUGCGCGUGACACCUGAUGUUAUUUUACGAUUAUUGUUUCUGGAUUUAUGGAACGCAAUUGCAUUUGCAGCACGGCAGGUGUUGUUGCUGGAUUGCUGCCGGUUUUGCUGCUCUUGCCGCUGCGGAAAUUCCCAUUUCGCCAUUGCACAAUUAAAAGUUGCGAAUCCUUUGG